UACGUAGGCAGCAAGCGUUGUUCGGAAUUACUGGGCGUAAAGAGUGUGUAGGCGGUGCUCUAAGUUCGUUGUGAAAUCUCCCGGCUUAACUGGGAGGGUGCGGCGGAAACUGGAGUGCUUGAGCGCGGGAGAGGAAAGCGGAAUUCCCGGUGUAGUGGUGAAAUGCGUAGAUAUCGGGAGGAACACCAGUGGCGAAGGCGGCUAUCUGGGCUGCAACUGACGCUGAGGCGCGAAGGCUAGGGUAGCAAACAGG
rnacentral:rRNA from 1 species